UGGGGAAUUUUGGACAAUGGGCGAAAGCCUGAUCCAGCAAUGCCGCGUGUGUGAAGAAGGCCUUCGGGUUGUAAAGCACUUUUGUCCGGAAAGAAAUCCUUGGCUCUAAUACAGUCGGGGGAUGACGGUACCGGAAGAAUAAGCACCGGCUAACUACGUGCCAGCAGCCGCGGUAAUACGUAGGGUGCAAGCGUUAAUCGGAAUUACUGGGCGUAAAGCGUGCGCAGGCGGUUUGCUAAGACCGAUGUGAAAUCCCCGGGCUCAACCUGGGAACUGCAUUGGUGACUGGCAGGCUAGAGUAUGGCAGAGGGGGGUAGAAUUCCACGUGUAGCAGUGAAAUGCGUAGAGAUGUGGAGGAAUACCGAUGGCGAAGGCAGCCCCCUGGGCAAUACUGACGCUCAUGCACGAAAGCGUGGGGAGCAAACAGGAUUAGAUACCCUGGUAGUCCACGCCCUAAACGAUGUCAACUAGUUGUUGGGGAUUCAUUUCCUUAGUAACGUAGCUAACGCGUGAAGUUGACCGCCUGGGGAGUACGGUCGCAAGAUUAAAACUCAAAUGAAUUGACGGGGUCAUAGCUGUUUCCU
rnacentral:rRNA from 1 species